CUACAACAAUGUUUUUUUUACCAGAAAUGAAGCUAAACAAAAACAGACCAAAAAGAAUCAGUUUCCUUUCUUCAGAUAAAACUCAAUUGGUUGCGGCAGAAGCCCAUUCUUUGCGUAUAUCGAAAGUGUAGUUGAUUUCCAGGUAACAUUUUCUAUCAUCAUCAAUAAACUGAGAAUUCAAAAUCACAACCACCCAAGGUAAGAUUCACAGAAUGAAUGAGCAUUUCAUAUGAAUUUGAAUUUGUAUUUUCAUUACCCCGGUUCUUGCAGAAUAAGACCCUCUUGCGAAAACACCAGAGGGUGUUUUCUCCUCGUUCAUCUCAUACACAUAAGCUUCAGCCUGAGGGCUGAAGGUUCCGAGCAUUAACUUCGCGCUCUCAACUUUAAUGCCGGUUUUCCAAACUGAGUUGACGUACCU
rnacentral:lncRNA from 1 species